AAAAAUAACAAUUCCGUAAUAAAUCAGCUAAAUUAAAGAGGUUACUAAUUAGCAAAACAAUCAUAUUGCUCAAUGUGCGUUAACCCGUACAAUAUCAGUUAUUUUUUUAUUUUUCUACUUUUUUAUCGUUGGUUGGACGUUGGGCCGGGCGAUGGUGUGAUGAUGUUGAUAAUAAAAGCAGCGCAUUAGCUGCUCCUCGUAUAUCCAGCUCUUGUUUUAUAUCAUCUUCGUUUUCUGGAAAUUAUAAUAGAAUUUUCAGUACGAUGUACAGAUAAAAAUAUAAAUACGUAUUCGGUUGAUUCUGGUAGUGUGAAAGAGAAGUUUCGAGUUCUUAAUUUGUUAUGAAUACAUUCAUAAAUUCCUUGAAAUGCCUAAAGUCAAAAGAAUACUACCAACGAUUCGCAUUAGUCUCGUAGAUUCUGAUAGAAAAAAAAAAUCAUUUUAUUUUCUUGUUGAUUGUUUCUUUUAUUGGAACUUUCUAAAUUGUAUCGGAAAAUAUGAACGAUAAGAUUAAGAAGAACUUUGCUGUUAGCGUGCAGUACCUACAGUAUUAAGAUUAUAUAAGUUUAUUUUUUUAUUUCUCUACCUUUUUAUUGUUGGUAGGACGUUUGGCGACACCUCUGGGCGGUCCACCGUGUCGGUUUUUUAUAUAUAGGGUAAGGUUGCUCAAGUCGUACUACCGCCUAAGUCUUAC
rnacentral:misc_RNA from 1 species